rnacentral:lncRNA from 1 species
CCACUAAGGAACUCACUCCCAGCUCUUUCCUUACUCCUCAUAAUGGGAAUGAUGGUGAUGAUAAGAACCCUGCUGGUCUUGAUAUGCUUCAGCCUUUGCUUGAGACUCUGGAAAAGUCUCUGCCACUGCAACAAGAAAAAUCCACAGCAGCAUCAGUACGUCAGAGGGGCAGCGGUCUUUAUUCUCUUGAGCCAUUCCGGUGUUUAUCCUUCCGUGGUUCCUCAGGGAAAAUGAACCAAACCAUCUUGCAUAUGCUUAGGCCAUUUACACCAUCUGUUAUAAAAAGAAAAAAAAAAAA